UGCUGCAGUUGUUGACCAAGGGGGGUAUUGAACAGGCCCUGAACACCCCCAGAGCUCUCAGUAGCUCCCCCAGACUUUUCACCUGGAAUGCACGGGGGUCGUCGAAGCUCAAGGUCACCGGGGGGUCGCAGCCUGGUUGGGGAUGGGUCACUGGCAAGUCACUGGGCCGCGAGGUCAUGGUGGGGUCACCACUGAGCAUCCUGGGAGUUGUAGUCCUAGCUGCUGGGUUCCAGAUUGGGAGGAGGUGUCGCACACAGGAGCGAGAGAGAAACAUCCUGUGCGUGUGAGUGCCUGUCUGUCUGCUGGACCACCUGGCUCCCUGGACUUCCUGUCUGUCUGCACUACCUGUCUGCUGGACCACCUGUCUGUCUGUCUGUCUGUCUGGACUUCCCGUCUCUCUGUACCACCUGUCUGUCUGUCUGGACUUCCUGUCUGUCUGCACUACCUGUCUAUUGGACCACCUGUCUAUCUUAUCUGUCUGUCUCAACCACCUGUCUAUCUGACCCCCCUGUGUUGUGAAGAUGGUGCUGUUCUCAGUGUGUUGUUCAGUUGGGCAGUUGUGCAGUGUGUUGUGAAGACGGUGCUGUUCUCAGUGUGUUGUGCAGUGUGUUGUGAAGACGGGGCUGUCCUGUUGUUAGUAUUGUGCUCCUGUGUGCUGGGACAGAGUUUCGUAGAUCCCAGAAUCCCGAGUCUCUCCCUGCCUGCGGGCGUCUCACUCCUCUCUCCCAGCACCUGAAAAACCAGCACAGCUGUCGGCCUGCUGUGACCCCAACUCGUGCAGCCCCAGUCCAGUCCAGUCCAUCCAGGGAUCACCAGUCUCAGUCGUCCACUCCAGUCCAGGGGUCUCCAGCCCCAGUCCAGUACAGGGGUCUCCAGCCCCAGUCCAGGUAGAAUGUCAUACAAAGAGAGACACAGGCAGACAGACAGGUGGGGAGAUACAGACAGAGAGGGGGAGAUACAGACAGACAGUGAAACAGACGGGUGGAGAGAUACAGAGAGAGACACAGGCAGACAGACAGGUGGAGAGAUACAGAGAGAGACACAGGCAGACAGACAGACAGUCAGACAAACAGGCACAGGGAGUCUGUGGAGAGUCUCCUACCUCGUGCUGCAGCAAGCAAGUCCAGAGGACGAGUGAGAGAGGACACUGUGUCUGAGGGUCAGUCCAGCAGACUGUGAGCUGACAUGAGUUUGCAGCUCGAGC
rnacentral:lncRNA from 1 species